GUGACUGUGGCUCAGUGGAAAGAGUGGUUGUCUUGCAAUCUGAAGGCUGUGGGUUUGAUUCCAGUUUCCUUCUGCCACA